rnacentral:rRNA from 1 species
UACGAAGGGGGCUAGCGUGGCUCGGAAUCACUGGGCGUAAAGGGUGCGUAGGCGGGGCUUUAAGGCAGGGGUGAAAUCCUGGAGCUCAACUCCAGAACUGCCUUUGAUACUGAAGAUCUUGAGUUCGGGAGAGGUGAGUGGAACUGCGAGUGUAGAGGUGAAAUUCGUAGAUAUUCGCAAGAACACCAGAGGCGAAGGCGGCUCACUGGCCCGAUACUGACGCUGAGGCACGAAAGCGUGGGGAGCAAACAGG